rnacentral:rRNA from 1 species
UGGGGAAUAUUGGACAAUGGGGGCAACCCUGAUCCAGCAAUGCCGCGUGAGUGAUGAAGGCCUUAGGGUUGUAAAGCUCUUUCGCCCACGACGAUGAUGACGGUAGUGGGAGAAGAAGCCCCGGCUAACUUCGUGCCAGCAGCCGCGGUAAUACGAAGGGGGCAAGCGUUGUUCGGAAUUACUGGGCGUAAAGGGCGCGCAGGCGGCGAACCAAGUCAGGCGUGAAAGCCCCGGGCUUAACCUGGGAAAUGCGCUUGAGACUGAAUUGCUUGAGUUCGGGAGAGGUGAGUGGAAUUCCCAGUGUAGAGGUGAAAUUCGUAGAUAUUGGGAAGAACACCGGUGGCGAAGGCGGCUCACUGGACCGAUACUGACGCUGAGGCGCGAAAGCGUGGGGAGCAAACAGGAUUAGAUACCCCCGUAGUCC